AUGUCACAUUAUCUUGAAUCUGAGUUUUGGAUUUUUUUAAUGGUCACAAUAAUAACUACUUUAUUAAGUUACAGAGAGAACAAGGUGAGAUGCAACAAGGGAGAACACUUUGUAAGCCAUAAAAUUGAAGAGAUUACUGAUAUUAAUAAACAGUAAUUGCUAACUCGUUGAAUCAUUGCCUUUGUAUAAAAAUAUGAUGUUGUUAACUUUGGACUAGGAAAAAAAAGAAACGACAAACAUGACAGAGAAAACCUGUUUCCUGGAAAUUCCCGUGGGCCAGGUAUGUCUGCUAUGUAUCCAGGUGAGAAGCCCUUGUAAUCACAUCAGUGCAUAUCACAAUGUAAAUAGGCAGCUGUUUGCCUUCACCUAUAAAAGGAGAAUGCUUGUUUGGUAGUGAAAUGUUAUACAUCCAAAUUAGUUUAUCCAAUGUUCAAUUUCACUUUUAUUUUGAUAUUAGUGGAAAGCAAUUUUGAGAACAUUGAGAGUUAUUUUGCUUUUUUUUGUCAUCAGUUCAUCUUGAUUCAAAUACUGAACUUUAAAAUCAAUUUAUUUCAUUUAACUUGAAAGCUGAAAUUUGGUAUAUAAAUUGUUAAGAGUUAUAGAACUAUCAACUGGCCACUAUGUCAAAUUUUUCUUUGGGAAUCACUCUAUUUUUUCUAAAGACUGUAUUUGAGAUAAGCCAGUAGAGUGUUUUGCUUUUUAAAUUCCUUCCUUGUGCUUAUAUUCUACAAAGUAUCUAGAUUCGCCUCCUGUUACAUUUAAAACGCAUUGCCAUUAACUGUUGAGAUAACGUGGAUCAGUCUCAAUCAGAUAAGGGAUAUGGAAUUUUCAAAAAGUUUAUAGUAUCUGUUUAUGGUAUUAAAGUACAUUUGUAAUUUCAAAACUGGAUUUGCAACCUAGGUGCUACACCACAGCCCAUCUUGUUCAUAUGCUCUCACCCUUAUUGAGCCGUUUGGCUGGGAAACUGCUAAUUUAUCUCCUUGUGCACAGCUAGGUAACUUUCAGUGCAGAGAGAGCUUGUGUUUGUUGGUGAUGGAGGUGAAGGAGGGAAAGAGCAGCUUUGGGGAACUCAGAUCUGCGCUACUUUUGACACUGUGUGGUAUGCAAAAUCUAAAGAAUUUACUGGCCUGGUAGAUUAACUACUUACACAGAGAAGAGAUAAUGGAGACCCGGCAUGCUUUCCAGGAAACAGGCAGCUGGGAAGAGAGGGCGUGAUUACUCCCCAGCCAGCCUUGCUGAGAAGUGCCCUCACAGCUGAGAGCCAUGCAAAGAGGAUGACAGAGCUGAGUAAGGCAGAUGGGAUCUGUUAGCCACCGCUGACUCUAACAAUAGGCCAAAAAGGAAAACUGCCACUGUGUUCCCAGACAGUGAAUGAGAGGGGCUGGCUGGCACUGCAGUCCCUGAAUAGAAUUUUAAAGGAGGAGUGGGCUGAUCCAGGAGGGAGGGAUAUCAUAAGCACAACUCAAUUCAGACUUGUGCCAUUAUCUUGGGCUGGUGGGCUGUUAAUUUGGG
rnacentral:lncRNA from 1 species